rnacentral:lncRNA from 1 species
AUGAUGCAGCGACUGUGGACAACGACCAGUGUUGGUAGACACCGGGUGGGAGGCUUCCAUACGGGGACCCGCAACGCCUGGAAGUGUGGGGUGCUGAAGGCCGAGGAGAGAAAGAACCGUGGUCUGGGUGGGGAGAGGCGGGGCUGUCCAGGCAGGGAGCGGAAAUGGUUCGGGGAAUCUGUCGCUGGAGCUGCCGGGGAGCUGGGAUGCGGCGCGGGCCACGUGCGCUUUGGAGUACUUAGGGUGGUGGUGGCCGCAGGACGGUGGGCAGAGACCCUCCACAGGCAGGGCCUGGCGCUGGGGCGACCACCCUGCACCCGCAAGGGCGUCCCUUGCCUCUCUCCUUUAAAUCUUGAGACUAAUGACAUCUCAGGCGGAGGCGGGCCCUUCCAAACCAGGCCGUGGGUCUGCACAGGGAAGAAUGCGCCUGACUUUGCCGCGGAUCCCGAGCGCGCGGGAGCAAGAGCCAGAGAGAGGUGGGGGUUUCCAACUGAUGCCAGAUCAGACCCAGGCAAAGCUGUGGAAUAGUGGAAGUUUGUCUUCAAUGCCUCCCUUGCUUUCCCCUACCACUAAACAGACUUCUCUGAUUAAAAGCACAUAUGCAAGGGAAGACAUGCUGAGGGGUGUGGAGUUUUUCUUUUUGGAGUAAUGAAAUAAUUCUAAAGUUUUUUAUGAUGAUGAAGGCACAACCUUAUGAUUAUACUAAAAGCCAUUGAUUAUACACUUUUAGAUAGAUUGUAUGGUAUGUGAAUAAAACUAAAUAAAUAAUUGUGUAAGAAUAGCCAGAAAUAGCAGCUAUGUACAGCAGGGGAAACAUAUUAUUAUUAUUACUAUGAUUGAGAUAAUGAAAAUGCUUUAAACAUGAUUGAAGUGAUGAAUGUACAACUAUGUGAUAUACCAUUGAUUGUACACUUUGGAUGAACUGUAUGC